GGGCUUCUGUUCUUCUCGCGAGCGGCCAUUUUUCCACUGGCCUAUAAUUUUUCCGAGGGAGCUGGCUCUGUCGGGGCCUUGGUCUCGUUAUCUGGCGCCCACCUGAUCGUUCAGGCUUUCGGGAAAUCUCAAGCUGCCGCGGUCGCUGCGGUUCCCGC
rnacentral:other from 1 species